rnacentral:rRNA from 1 species
AGAGUUUGAUCCUGGCUCAGGAUGAACGCUGGCGGCGUGCCUAACACAUGCAAGUCGAACGAAGCUUGACGGAUGAUUUCUUCGGAAUGAAACCAGAUAUGACUUAGUGGCGGACGGGUGAGUAACACGUGAGCAACCUGCCUUUCAGAGGGGGAUAACGGCUGGAAACGGUCGCUAAUACCGCAUGAAGUGUUCGGAUGGCAUCAUCUGAACAUCAAAGAUUUAUCGCUGAAAGAUGGGCUCGCGUCUGAUUAGAUAGUUGGUGGGGUAACGGCCUACCAAGUCAACGAUCAGUAGCCGGACUGAGAGGUUGAACGGCCACAUUGGGACUGAGAUACGGCCCAGACUCCUACGGGAGGCAGCAGUGGGGAAUAUUGCACAAUGGGGGAAACCCUGAUGCAGCAACGCCGCGUGAAGGAUGACGGUUUUCGGAUUGUAAACUUCUUUUCUUAGUGACGAAGACAGUGACGGUAGCUAAGGAAUAAGCAUCGGCUAACUACGUGCCAGCAGCCGCGGUAAUACGUAGGAUGCAAGCGUUAUCCGGAUUUACUGGGUGUAAAGGGAGCGCAGGCGGGACUGCAAGUUGGAUGUGAAAUACCGUGGCUUAACCACGGAACUGCAUCCAAAACUGUAGUUCUUGAGUGAAGUAGAGGCAAGCGGAAUUCCGAGUGUAGCGGUGAAAUGCGUAGAUAUUCGGAGGAACACCAGUGGCGAAGGCGGCUUGCUGGGCUUUAACUGACGCUGAGGCUCGAAAGUGUGGGGAGCAAACAGGAUUAGAUACCCUGGUAGUCCACACUGUAAACGAUGAUAGCUAGGUGUGGGGGGUCUGACCCCUUCCGUGCCGGAGUUAACGCAAUAAGCUAUCCACCUGGGGAGUACGACCGCAAGGUUGAAACUCAAAGGAAUUGACGGGGGCCCGCACAAGCAGUGGAUUAUGUGGUUUAAUUCGAAGCAACG